rnacentral:rRNA from 1 species
UACGUAGGGUGCGAGCGUUGUCCGGAAUUAUUGGGCGUAAAGAGCUCGUAGGCGGUUUGUUGCGUCGGCUGUGAAAUCCCGAGGCUCAACCUCGGGUCUGCAGUCGAUACGAGCAAACUAGAGUGUUGCAGGGGAGACUGGAAUUCCUGGAGUAGCGGUGAAAUGCGCAGAUAUCAGGAGGAACACCGGUGGCGAAGGCGGGUCUCUGGGCAACAACUGACGCUGAGGAGCGAAAGCGUGGGGAGCGAACAGG